AAUUAACGCUGGCGGCAUGCCUAACACAUGCAAGUCGCACGAGAAAGCCCGGUUCGCCGGGCGAGUAAAGUGGCGCACGGGUGAGUAACGCGUGGAUAAUCUACCUCGUUCUGGGGGAUAACCCAUCGAAAGGUGGGCUAAUACCGCAUAAUCCGGCUGAAUUUUGGUUUGGUCGGCAAAGGUGGCCUCUUCAUGAAAGCUACCGGGAAGAGAUGAGUCCGCGUCCCAUUAGCUUGUUGGUAGGGUAACGGCCUACCAAGGCGACGAUGGGUAGCUGGUCUGAGAGGACGAUCAGCCACACUGGAACUGGUACACGGUCCAGACUCCUACGGGAGGCAGCAGUGAGGAAUAUUGCGCAAUGGGGGAAACCCUGACGCAGCGAUGCCGCGUGAGUGAAGAAGGCCUUCGGGUCGUAAA
rnacentral:rRNA from 1 species